rnacentral:rRNA from 1 species
UACGUAGGGGGGCGAGCGUUGUCCGAAGUUACUGGGCGUAAAGCGCGCGUAGGCGGUUAUUUAAGUCUGGGGGUGAAAAGGUUCAGCGCUCAACGUGAACAGUGCCUUGGAUACUGGAUGACUUGAGUCUGGGAGGGGGGAAGGGGGAAUUCCUGGUGUAGCGGUGAAAUGCGUAGAUAUCAGGAGGAACACCGGUGGCGAAGGCGCCUUCCUGGCCUAAGACUGACGCUGAGGUGCGAAAGCGUGGGGGAGCAAACGGG